AUAACGAAAGAAAGAGAAAGAGAAACUGAGGGAAAAAAGUGAAGAAUAUUCAUGAAGAAAAAUAACCGUUUUUAGCUUAUAACAUCUUCUAGAAGGGAAAAGUUAAACCCUUAAUUAUCAUUGAUAGAGCAUAUCUUCAAGAUUAUCAGUCGUCAAAUCAUCCGGACCAAGUCUGUCCUUCUGUGAAACUGUAAUAUGUCAGCAAAAAACAAAACUGUUUCCUAUUUUGUUCAUUUUUGUGAAUUUCCAUGCUUCCAUUAUUUUGUUUCUUCCUAAAAAUACUCAACUUUGACAUGUCAACCUGCUGCUUUUUCCUGUACCACCAUUGUUGAAAUUUAAUCAAUCAAUUGUUCAUCAUCUCCAGGCCUUCAGCUUUGGCUAUUCUCAUGUUUUUAACAUAAUUCAGAUAUUUCUCUCUAUGAUUAACGGAACCGGACAUUUCUCCAGCCAGCCACUCAAGCGAUACUGGACAUCACCAGAUGGCCAACAGUUAAUAUUAAAUGGGUGGACAACAUGAACUAUUAAAAUUUGGAGACACAAAAAAUUGUUGACACUUUCUGUUGACAACAAACUUCACUUUCCUUGAAGCUGGCGGGCGACAUGAAAAAAAACAGACUUGAGGUCAUGUAAUCUUGAGAUUAAUAUUAUUACUAUUAUUAUCUGAUCUUGAAUUACUAAAUCAAAUUCUGUUACUGUUGUAUCAAGUGUGUCUAUGAGAUAAAAAAAGUCUCACAGUUUCCAAUCAAUCCACGUUAAUUAAACAACCGCAAAGAUCUUGAUUAGGAUUGAUUGAAUCAAGUCGAGUGUUGGGGAACAACGUUGUUAAAUGAUCAGCAAAAACC